AUUCCCGACCAGGUGAGAGCAGCUCCAUCCAAGCCUGAGCCUAGUGCAAAGUUUGAAGUGCUGAUGAAGCAUGAAAAUCAGAAGCAACUCAAGCUGGAUCAUGUUCAGCUGGAUGCAGCAGUCCUUGCCUCAAUUGACAGCAUCUACAACUACAAGUGCAUCGUGUCUGGUGGGGAAUGCACAUUUCUUAUGGGAUUUGGUCGAUCACAUGUGUACAGGAGGUUACCUAAUGGGAAAUGGAUGAAGCUGGACAUAAACGUUGAACUUCCAAGAGAAACACU